UACGUAGGGUGCGAGCGUUAAUCGGAAUUACUGGGCGUAAAGCGUGCGCAGGCGGUUUUGUAAGCCAGUUGUGAAAUCCCCGGGCUCAACCUGGGAACUGCAUCCGGGACUGCAUUGCUAGAGUAUGGGAGAGGGAAGCGGAAUUUCUGGUGUAGCAGUGAAAUGCGUAGAUAUCAGAAGGAACAUCAGUGGCGAAGGCGGCUUCCUGGACCAAUACUGACGAUCAGGUGCGAAAGCGUGGGGAGCAAACAGG
rnacentral:rRNA from 1 species